GCGGACCCGGAUCAGGAAGCGCGCGGGAGGUGAUGGAUGCUGCGGUCGGGUCCCCGGCGGAGGGAGGGAGCUGGCGCUUUGGUGCCCCCAGCACAAGCCCCCCAACUUUGAGUCCCGCUGGGAAUUGGGGGGCCCUCCAGGCUUCAAUUCCCCUCGGACGCCCCGGCCGUGCCCCAACAAUUCCUGAGCAGAAACAAGCGACGGGGAGAGCGCACUUUGCCCCGUCUGAUGGCCGGCGAGUCUUGUCCCGCUACGAAGAUUACGUUUUGUAUUUUGGACGCUGCUCUCUCAGACUGAAUCUCAGGGUAAAGUUCUGUUUGCAGGACAGCCUAUCAUUUCUGCAUUGCUGGAAAUUAGCAUAUUAACGAUAAUAGUAGCUCUGGAAAAGGGGGAGAGAGGACUGUUGCCUGCCAUUUGGUAAUUGAAAUGUGAUGGGUAAACUAAUUACACCAUUAUUAACAAAUAAAUUACUUAUUAAUUCCACCUAAUGUUGAUCUUUGCAUUAAAUACUGAUGCCUUA